UACGUAGGGUGCGAGCGUUAAUCGGAAUUAUUGGGCGUAAAGCGCACGUAGUCGGCUUUGCAAGUCGGUUGUGAAAUCCCCGGGCUCAACCUGGGAACUGCAUCCGAGACUGCAUUGCUAGAGUAUGGGAGAGGAAAGCGGAAUUUCUGGUGUAGCAGUGAAAUGCGUAGAUAUCAGAAGGAACAUCAGUGGCGAAGGCGGCUUUCUGGACCAAUACUGACGAUCAGGUGCGAAAGCGUGGGGAGCAAACAGG
rnacentral:rRNA from 1 species